rnacentral:rRNA from 1 species
CACGCUGUAAACGAUGAAUACUAGGUGUGCGGGGACUGACCCCCUGCGUGCCGCAGUUAACACAAUAAGUAUUCCACCUGGGGAGUACGAUCGCAAGGUUGAAACUCAAAGGAAUUGACGGGGGCCCGCACAAGCGGUGGAUUAUGUGGUUUAAUUCGAAGCAACGCGAAGAACCUUACCAGGGCUUGACAUCCUACUAACGAAGUAGAGAUACAUCAGGUGCCCUUCGGGGAAAGUAGAGACAGGUGG